GGGGAAUAUUGGACAAUGGGGGGAACCCUGAUCCAGCCAUGCCGCGUGUGUGAAGAAGGCCUUUUGGUUGUAAAGCACUUUAAGCGAGGAGGAGGCUACUCUAGUUAAUACCUAGAGAUAGUGGACGUUACUCGCAGAAUAAGCACCGGCUAACUCU
rnacentral:rRNA from 1 species